AGAGUUUGAUCCUGGCUCAGAUUGAACGCUGGCGGAAUGCUUUACACAUGCAAGUCGAGCGGCAGCGCGGGGCAACCUGGCGGCGAGCGGCGAACGGGUGAGUAAUGCAUCGGAACGUGUCCACGUCGUGGGGGAUAGCCCGGCGAAAGCCGGAUUAAUACCGCAUACGCCCGAGAGGGGAAAGUGGGGGACCGCAAGGCCUCACGCGAUUGGGUCGGCCGAUGUCCGAUUAGCUAGUUGGCGGGGUAAAGGCCCACCAAGGCGAUGAUCGGUAGCUGGUCUGAGAGGAUGAUCAGCCACACCGGAACUGAGACACGGUCCGGACUCCUACGGGAGGCAGCAGUGGGGAAUCUUGCGCAAUGGGCGAAAGCCUGACGCAGCAACGCCGCGUGGAGGAUGAAGGCCUUUGGGUUGUAAACUCCUGUCGGCUGGGAAGAAAUCGUACGGUGCUCAUACCACCGUGCGUUGACUGUACCAGCAAAGGAAGCCCCGGCUAACUCUGUGCCAGCAGCCGCGGUAAUACAGAGGGGGCCAGCGUUAUUCGGAAUUAUUGGGCGUAAAGGGCGCGUAGGCGGCCAUGCGUGUC
rnacentral:rRNA from 1 species